CUACGGGACGCUCCAGUGGGAAUAUUGGGCAAUGGGCGAAAGCCUGACCCAGCAACGCCGCGUGAAGGAAGAAGGUUUUCGGAUCGUAAACUUCUAUCCCGGGUGAAGAUAAUGACGGUAGCCCGGAAGGAAGCCCCGGCUAACUACGUGCCAGCAGCCGCGGUAAUACGUAGGGGGCAAGCGUUGUCCGGAAUGAUUGGGCGUAAAGGGCGCGUAGGCGGCCUUUUAAGUCCGGUGUGAAAGUCCUGCUUUUAAGGUGGGAAUUGCAUUGGAAACUGGAAGGCUUGAGUGCAGGAGAGGUAAGUGGAAUUCCCGGUGUAGCGGUGAAAUGCGUAGAGAUCGGGAGGAACACCAGUGGCGAAGGCGACUUACUGGACUGUAACUGACGCUGAGGCGCGAAAGUGUGGGGAGCAAACAGGAUUAGAUACCCUUGUAGUC
rnacentral:rRNA from 1 species